rnacentral:lncRNA from 1 species
CCCUGCAGCAUAUGGAGGUUCCCAGGCUAGGGGUCGAAUCGGAGCUAUAGCUGCCGGGCUACACCACAGCCACAGCAACGCCAGAUCCGAGCCGUGCCUGCGACCUACGCCACAGCUCAUGGCAAUGCAGGGUCCUUAACCCACCGAGCAAAGUCAGGGAUCAAACCUAUGUCCUCAAGGACACUAAUCAGGUCUGCUACCCUUGAGCCACAAGGGGAACUCCCCACAUAUACCACAUUUAUCAGUUUCCUAGGCUACUGAAACAAAGUAUCACAAACUAAGGGGCUUGAAACAACAGACCUUCUCUCACAGUUCUGGAGGAGAGAGGUCUGGAAUCAAGUUAUCAGCAGGGUCCUGCGGUCUCCGAGGUCUCUAGGGAGACCCUUCCCUGCUUCUCCCAGACCCUCGCAGCCCUAAAUGCUCAUGGUAGCCUCACUCAGAGAUCUGCCUCCAUCUUCACAUGGCUGUGUUCCCUCUGUGUCUGUGAAUCCCUGUGUCUUCACAGGGCGUUCUGUGCUCUCUCUUCACAAAGUCUUCCAGUCGUAUUGGAUGGGUCCUCACCCUAAUGGCCUCAUCCUAACUAAUUAUGUCCACAAUGACCCUGUUUCCAAAUAACGUCAUAUUUUGAGGUACUCGGGGUUAGGACUUCAACAUAUCUUUUGGGGGCACAUAUUCGACACACAAUGUGACGCCAAGAAAGGAAGAGUGUUUAGGAAGGGAGGACUGAGAUGCCUUCUGAGCUCACGUCCACACCCUGAAUCAGCUGGCUCUGAAUCACUCCCACUGAGACCUUUAAAAACAGGAUUUACUCUGAGUGCCUCUGUUGCAUGAUCUCAAGUAAAAGGAAUAUUUACACUCCUAGGGCUGAGGCAUUUUCUCAGUGGUGCAGUCACGGUCACACAGGCCUAAAUGACCGAGCUUCUCCCUGCCCCUCGCCCCAUGGCCAUCAUGCAUUCCAGUCGGGAAGUCAGUGGCGUAGGUAAGUCCAGGCCAGGUCAUGGGAGACUCGGGUCAUGGACAAGCUCAGGUAGGCAGUAGGGAGCCAUCUAGUCUAGAGCAGGGAAGAGAUGUGAAAAAACAGAGAGUCUCCCAGGACUGGGCAGGGCAGGAUAAAGGGCACAAGCUAGAAGUCAUCUGGAACUGAAGCAGAGGGAAAGAUGAAGUCUAGGGAGUCAUCCAUGUGAGGGUGCAGAUUAUCUGGUGCUUUAAGCCUAGGGAGACAAAGAUGAACCUUGGAGCUCCUCUUUAGGAGAAAGUGAGACUUAAGGAAAGAUGAGUUGUUCAGUGAUGAAAACAUGAGCUUGCAGGAAAAACAAGGAAGCAGGGCAGAUCAAUGGCUCAGGCUUCAGCAGAGACAAGUUUGUAGUGGUUCCAAUGGGAAAGCCUUCCUUUCCAGAUGUCCCCUCAUCCUUCUCAGGGAUGCCCUUCUGCCCUCCUUUUAGGUACUAGAAUGUCUCAGUCUCCCCUGGGAACCAAGUGGCCUCUGAGACCAGGGCUGGAUGUCCUCCAGAUCCUGCAGCCCUUCUUCUCAUGUCCCCACCCAGAGCCAUGGGCAAGAAGGAUAGGCUGAAAGAAGGAGAGCUGGAAAGGACCCAGUGAAGGUGGUCUAGCUAAGCACCUGAAAUGGCCAUGGUCCUGGUAGAUUUCUACGUUCUCCUGAUACCACAGACAACACAUCUGAAUCCAUUUAAAAGAGGAUGGAAAAUACAUAAAUUGUGACCCCCAUUUUCCCUCAAGCCCUUAAGGACACCAGGAAAAUAGUCAUAGUAUGCUUCAAUAACAACCAAGUCAGGAAUAAAUUUGGAAUUCUUCAAUUUAAAUCCCCAUUCAUUCAUAUACUCAUUGCUAAAUUAAAAGUUUGAAAUAAUUUCCUGCUGUAAAAAUAUGAAACUCUAGCACUUCAGAUAGAUUUUUCAAAUCCAAGACUGGAAAUUGCAGGAGUUAUUUCAAAAUGUCUUUUGAAAAGCUUUUCUGUUCUUGAUCAUAAAAUGUCAAAGUCACAUCAUUAUGAACUGCAAUUUUUCUACACUUGAUCUUAGCCAGAAGACUGAGAAAUGAUUGAGUUUUUCUAAAUUUAGCUUUACUUAUUAGUACUUGUUCACUGCUAAAAUGAUACAUACACUUAAAAAUAAUAAAAUACAUUUCUUUAAAAAUAUAUUGUAUGUAGCUGGACUUCCAGUUAUGAAGGAGUAAAGAGAUCAACAAAUCUUCCCCAUUAACGUCAACUAAAAAACUGGACAUAAUUGUAAAAAAAAAAAAAAUCAUUUCAGGGCUCUGGAAAUUGACCACAAGCGAACAACAAAUUGAGGAAUGUGAAAAACUGUGUAUGAAGUUCCCCUGUGGUGCAGCAGGUUAAAGAUCUGGCAUUGCUGCCACAGGUGUGGCACAAGCUGCAACUAUGGCGCAGGUUCAAUCCUGGCCUGGGAACUUCCACAUGCAACAGAUGUAGCCAAAAAAACACAAAAAAAAUAAACUAUGUGGAUUCAGACAAAAUCAGUGUGCUAUGUGGUCAUCUUGCCUGGGACUAGCUCCUUCCUCCAGCCCAGCAGACCAUCCCAACCAGUCAGCCUGGUUGUUCUACCUGGAUAGGAUGUUUCUUCACUUCAUUUGGAGUGAAGAGUGGAGACCCACAGCCAGCAACAAAUGAGAGAAUUCUGCAGAUCUCCUAGCCUGUAGCUCCAAAGCUGGUUGGGACAAGCAGUAUAAGACUGGCCAGAAAUUGAAUAAGAGACAUUCUGAAAAUGAGACAGCCACUGAGAUCUUGAUAAGCACUUGACAUAAACCUCACUGUUUGGGAGCCUGCACUCAGACACAGUGGAGACCCAAGAGGGCCUGGUGUUAAAGUAAAAACUAGGGCAGGGUUGAAAAUUGCCAAAUUUGAAAACAUCACCCAAUUCAAACACAGAUUCACCAGCAGAGAGUGAUAUUUAGGCAUCACUUCUGACCAAUCAUUGAGUGACUAUUAAGCUACACAAACACAGAGGCGAUCUAAAAGAAUCCAGGCCCCCACAGGAAAAAAUACAAAUAAGAAUUGAAAAAAACUCAGCAGAUUCCACAUGUCAGGAAAGCAUUUGAUGUUGGUGUCUCUUUGUAUGGCUGACUUCACUUAGCAUGAUAAUUUCUAGGUCCAUCCAUGUUGCUAAAAAUGCCGGUAUUUCAUUCCUUUUAACGACUGAGUAAUAUUCCAUUACGUAUUUGUACCACAUCUUCUUACAGACUGAACUUCUUUGCAGAACAGAUGCUGACCCACAGACACUGAAAAACUUAUGGUCUCUGGAGGAGACAGUUUGGGGAGUGGGUGGAUGUGCUUGGGUAAUGGGAUGGAAAGCCUGUGAAACUGGAUUGUUAUGAUCAUUAUACAACUACAGAUGUGAUAAAUUCAUUUGAGUAAUAAAAAAAAGAAUGCUACUACCAUAUUAAAAAAAAAAGAAUAUAAGAAAAGGAAUGUAUAUAUAUGAAUGGGUCACUUCACUGUACAGCAGAAAUUGGCACAUUAUAAAUCAACAAUAAUUUAAAAAUAAAUUUUAAAAAUAUUACAAAAAAAGAAAAAAACUCAGCAGAAUCAUCAGUAGAUGCACACUGCAGGGUGACAGAUUUUAAAGAUCAAGUCCAAGCAAGUUAUAAACAAACAAAAUUCAGUAACAGCUAAGAAUCUCAAAAGAUAAAACAAUAUAGAUUUGUUAUAUUAUCUAUAAUAGCCAGUAUUUAACAAAAAUUUGCCAGUCAUGCAAAAUAACAAGUGAACCCACACUUGAGGGGGAAUAGUCAAUGGAAAUUGCCUUUGAGUGUCCCAGAUGUUGGAUUUAACAAAGACUUCAAAGCUAUUUUAAGUAUUUCAAAAAACUAAAAGAAACCAUGUUUAAAGAAUUUUAGGAAAAUAUUAUUAAAAUGAUUCAACAAGUGGGAAUAUCAAUAAAAAAAAAUUUAAAGGGCCAAAUGGAAAUUCUGAGUUGAAAAAUACAAUAACAAAAUGAAAACUUUAUUAUAUGGGAUCAGCGGUAGAUUUGAAAUAUCAGAAGAAAUUGGUAAACUGAAGAUAUUGCCCAAGCUGAAAAACAAAGAGAAAAACAAAUAGAAAAGAGAUUGAAGUAAAAGGAACAAUCUCAGAGACCUGCAGAACAACAAAUAAGAAGAGAAAGAAAAAGAGCACCAAAAAAAUUGAAGAAAUAGUGGCUGAAAACUUCUGACAUUUGAUCCCCAAAUACCAAUGAACCCCACAAGUAGGAAAAACACAAAGAGAUCUUUACUUAGUCAUAUCAAACUCUUCAAAGCAAAAAACAAAGAGGAAAUCUUGAAAGAGGCAAGAGGAAAACUCACCUUACAUAGGGGAACAAGAAUACAAAUAAUAGCUAAAUAUCCUCAAAAACAAUGGAAGCCAGAAAGCAAUGGAAUGACAUAUUCAAAAUGCUGAAAGAAACAACUGUCAGCCAAGAAUUCUAUAUAUCCAGUAAAACUACUCUUCAAAAGUGAAAGUGAAAUAAAGAUAAUUCUCAGAUAGACAAAAACUGAGAUAAUGUGAUGCUAACCAACAUGGCUUAUACAAAUUACUAAAAGAAGUCCUUCAGGAGGAAAAAAAAUUACUUCAAUUGGUAACUUGAAUCUAUAAGAAGAAAUGAAGACUAGAAAUGAUAAAAAUGUAGGUAAUUAUAAAAACUUAAUAUGCAUUUUUUUCCUUUUCUUCUGUUAUUUCAAUGGCAUAAGAUUAUACAAAGCAAGUAUAUUUUAGAGUUUAUAACAUAUAUAGUUGUAGUAAUAUACAUGACACGGCACAGAACAAGAAUACAAAUAAGAAGAAAUGGGGUAGGAAGAAAAUGAAACCAUACUGAAACAAGGUUGCUAUAUUUUAUGAGAUUAAGUUAAUAUUAACCUGAGGCCAUUUGUGAUAUGUUAAAAUGCAUAUCAAGAUUCCUUGAGAAAGUACUAAGACAAUAAUCCAAAAGUAUACUUAAGAAAUCAAGCAAGGAAUUAAAAUACUAUACAAAAUUAUUUGUUUAUCACAAAAGAAAGGAGUAAGAAGGAAUAAAAAAGACAUGAGGCAUAUAGAAAACAAAAAUAGCAAAAUAACACAUAUACAUCAAACCCUAUUAAUAAUUACAUUAAUAACAGAUAUUCAGUCAAAAAUCAGAUAGACUGAAUAACAAACCAAUUCCAACCAUAUGUUGUGUACAAGACACACUUUCCUUUUUUUUAUUACAGUAUAGUUGAUUUACAACAUUGUGCCAAUUUCUGCUAUACAGAAAGUGACUCAGUCAUACAUUUAUACAUUAUUUUUUUAUAUUCUUUUCCAUCAUGGUCUGUCCCAGAAGAAUGGACAUAGUUCCCUGUGCUGUCUUUCCAGUCUAAAUGUAAUAGUUUGUAUCUACUAACCCCAAACUCCUAGGCCAUCCCACUCCUUCUCCCCUCUACCUUGGCAACCACAAGUCUGUUCUCUAUGUCUGUGAAUCUGCUUCUAUUCUGUAGAUAGGUUCAUUUGUGCCACAUUUUAGAUUCCACAUAUAAGUGAUAUGAUAUGGUAUUUGUUGUUUUCUUUCUGAUUUACCUCACUUAGUAUAAAAAUCUCUAGUUGCAUUUGUGUUGCUGUGAAUGCUAUCACUUCAUUCUUUUUUAUGGCUAUAUUCCAUUACAUAUAUGUACCACAUCUUCUGUAUCCAUUCAUCUGUCGAUAGACAUUUAGGUUGUUUCCAUGUCUUGGCUGUUGUGAAUAGUGCUGCUAUGAACAUAGAGAGUGUAUGUAUCUUUUCAAAUUAUAGUUUUGUCCAGAUAUAUGUCCAGGAAUGGAACUGCUGAAUCAAAUGGUAGUUCUAUAUUUAGUUUUCUGAGGUAUCUCCAUGCUGUUUUCCAUAGGGGUUGCACCAAUUUAUAUUUCCACCAACAGUACAGGAGGAUUUACUUUUCUCCAUACCCUCUCCAGCAUUUGUUAUUUGUUGACUUGUAAAUGAUGGCCAUUCUGACUGGUGUAAGGUAGUACCUCACUGUAGUUUUGAUUUGCAUUUAUCUAAUAAUUAGUGAUGUUGAGCAUCUUUCCAUGUGCCUACUGGCCAUCUCUAUGUUCAAGAUACACUUUCAAUUCAAAGAUACAAAUAGAUUGAAAGCAAAAAGAUAUCUGUUCUCACCUAUUCAGCAUAAUACUCAAGGUUCUAGCCAGUACAAUGAAAUAAGAAAGAUCAACCCAAUGUAUUAUGUAUUAUGAGCA